rnacentral:lncRNA from 1 species
CCAGAAUCAUGUCUCUUAGAAUGGUAGAAGGGACCACAGAGACCAUGGAGGCCAUCAUCAUUACUUUAUAGAUGAGGAGACUGAGGCAGGCAGGCUAAGUGAGUUGUGGAAGGUCACACAGUUGGUGAUGUGGAGCUGCUGUUCGGGAAAGAGACUGAGGCAGGUGGACGUACAGAUCAAGGAGUUCUCAGAGAGAUGGACACUAAAAUCGGAUUUUAUUGUUCACUCACAAUAAAAUCAAGUCUAGAGAGGGACAGAAAAAGUGGAGCAUCUUGAGUUAAGGGCAGUGUCUGGGCAGUGGGCCAGACAGUGAGUUGGGGGGUGAGCUGGGUGGUGGGCCGGGCAGUGACCAAACGGUUGGGGAGGGGGGAGAGCAUUGCCCUUGGGCAGGUGGGAAGGGAACAAGCAUUUAUUAAGCACCCCAGCACUGGGAUAAGCAUCUUACAUGUAAUGUCUCAUUUGAUCUUCACAACCACCGGGAGCCAGAUACUAUUAUUAUCCCCACUAUACAGAGAAGGAAGCUGAGGACAGGUUAAGUGACUUGCCCAGGGUGACACAGCUAGUGUCUGAGGCUGGGUUUGAGGACUUCCUGACUCCAGGCUCUCGGCAUCGUCCCACCCCCCCCUGUGCCGGUUGGGAGAUGACCCAGAGCAUCAGGAGAUGAGUGAGAACAGGGCCCCCACCAUAGGGAGGGUGGCUAAAGGAGCCACAAGAGCCGCUUCCUAGUGUACGGCGGGGAGCAAGCUGGUCCCUCUCCUGGGCCCCAGAGGAGUUCUGGGCCUGGGCUCGGGAGGAGCAGAAUCUGAAUCUUGCCUAGCUUUUUUAAGUGACUGGGGCAGUCACAUCUGUCAAAUGGGCUCAUAGCAACAGUUCCUUCGCCCAGUCCAUAUACUGUGUGCCUGGCACUCUGCUAAAGGCUGGAGGCUACAUUAAAGCCCUCCAGUCACAUUCCCGCCCCCCCCCCAAGGCGGUCAGAAUCACCCGGGGAGCCCCGGGAUCUCAGGGGCGGCUCAGCCAGGAGAGCUGGGGGGGGGGGAGGGAGGGCACUGACCCGCCCAGGAGUGCCCCACGUAGAACUUUGCCCUGGGAGAAGAUGGGCCGGCUGCCCUUCCCGCCCCUCCCCCGCCCGCUGGAAGGGGAGAUAGCCACGGGGCGGGGAGAGGAGGGGGACGGGCUUCUUGGGGCUUUGGGCCCCCGGGCACGCUCUUAUGUCUCCCUUUCCCCCCCCCCCAAGCUGUUGCCUUCCUGGCCCCCCUCCGCCUCCCACCCUGCCCUGGGCCCUGCGCCCCCUGGGAGGCUGGGGACGCCGGGGUCCUUGGCGCGGAGUCAGGCGGCCCGGGGGCCCUGGGGCUGCUGGAGGACGGGGAGGACGAGGAGGAGGAGGAGGACGACGGGGCGGCCGUGGGGGAGGGCGAGGAGGCGGCGGCGCGGGGCCCUGGGAGGGGCCGGGCAGCCCCGGUGCCCAUCGUGGUGAGCAGUGCCGACGGGGACCGGAGCCGCCCGCUCCGGGGGCUGCUCAAAUCGCCCCGAGGGGCCGACGAGGCCGAGGAGAGCUUGGAGCUGGAGCGGAAGCGCAAGAUGGUCUCCUUCCAUGGGGA